CCUACGGGAGGCAGCAGUAGGGAAUCUUCCACAAUGGGCGAAAGCCUGAUGCAGCAACGCCGCGUGGGUGAAGAAGGUCUUCUGAUCGUAAAACCCUGUUGUUAGAGAAGAAAGUUCGUGUGAGUAACUGUCCACGCUUCUACGUUAUCUAUCCAGAUAGCCUCGGACAAAUACGUGCCAGCAGCCGCGGCAAUACGUACGUGGCAAGCGUUAUCCGGAUUUAUUGGGCGUAAGGGUAACGGAGGCGGUCUGUUAAGUCUGAUGGGAAAGCGUUCGGCGUAACCGGAGAAGUGCAUUUGAAACUGGGAGACUGGAGUGCAGACGAGGAAGGUGGAACUCGAUGUGUAGCGGUGAAAUGCGUAGAUAUAAGGAAGAACACCGAUGGCGAAGGCAGCUCACUAGACUGUAACUGACGCUGAGGUUCGAAAGCGUGGGUAGCAAACAGGAUUAGAUACCCCGGUAGUC
rnacentral:rRNA from 1 species